rnacentral:lncRNA from 1 species
GUUGACUCUGCCUGGUUUGUGCUGCGAUGCUGGUGGAAACGUUGACCGUGGCACUGUAAAACAGAGGAGGGUGUGGUGUUUGUUGUUUUUUAAUUUUUUUUUAACCAUCCCAUCAGACACGUGGUUUGGCUGCUCCCGGCGCCGGCAGGAGCGUGGCACUGAUGCUCUGUCUCACCUUCUCGGCAGGUGCGUGGGAUGAAGGGAGCCUGACGCCCGCCCGGAGAGGAGACCCACGGAGUUGCCCACCAUGAGCCGGACGCUGCUGACGGGCAGGAUGCAGCCGGAGAGCCGGAACGUCUGCGUCUUCCUGCCCACCCGGGAGCAGCUCAGCCUGGCCGUCGGGGUCAAAGCCACUGGACAGGAGCUCUUUCAGCAAGUUUGUGAUUUAGUGAAGAUUAAAGAGCCUCACUUCUUUGGCCUCAGCAUUGUUAAAAGUAAGCAAACUCAUUGCACGGAGCAAAUGACUUGGCAAAUGUCCACAGACCCGCUUGUGUAUUUACAGUGUGUGCAUAUAUACACAGCGGCCCUGCCUGGGGGG